UACGGGGGGAGCAAGCGUUGUUCGGAUUUACUGGGCGUAAAGCGCGCGUAGGCGGUCGUGACAAGUCACUUGUGAAAUCUCCGGGCUUAACUCGGAACGGUCAAGUGAUACUGUCGGACUAGAGUACAGAAGGGGCAACUGGAAUUCUCGGUGUAGCGGUGAAAUGCGUAGAUAUCGAGAGGAACACCUGCGGCGAAGGCGGGUUGCUGGGCUGAUACUGACGCUGAGGCGCGAAAGCCAGGGGAGCGAACGGG
rnacentral:rRNA from 1 species